UCCCUGGUAGCUCAGAUGGUAAAGUGUCUGCCUGCAACGCGGAAAACCCAGGUUUGAUCCCUGGGUCGGGAA
rnacentral:tRNA from 1 species